GAUGAACGCUGGCGGCGUGCCUAAUACAUGCAAGUCGAGCGAACAGACGAGGAGCUUGCUCCUUUGACGUUAGCGGCGGACGGGUGAGUAACACGUAGGUAACCUACCUAUAAGACUGGGAUAACUUCGGGAAACCGGAGCUAAUACCGGAUAAUAUUUCGAACCGCAUGGUUCGAUAGUGAAAGAUGGCUUUGCUAUCACUUAUAGAUGGACCUGCGCCGUAUUAGCUAGUUGGUAAGGUAACGGCUUACCAAGGCAACGAUACGUAGCCGACCUGAGAGGGUGAUCGGCCACACUGGAACUGAGACACGGUCCAGACUCCUACGGGAGGCAGCAGUAGGGAAUCUUCCGCAAAGGGCGAAAGCCUGACGGAGCAACGCCGCGUGAGUGAUGAAGGUCUUCGGAUCGUAAAACUCUGUUAUUAGGGAAGAACAGAAGUGUAAGUAACUGUGCACGUCUUGACGGUACCUAAUCAGAAAGCCACGGCUAACUACGUG
rnacentral:rRNA from 1 species